rnacentral:tmRNA from 1 species
GGGGGCGUCACGGCUUCGACGGAAAUGUUUGCGGCCAAGAGGCAUACCGGGGCGCCGCACCCGUAAUCGUGGCAAAAAACACAAUUGCCAACACCAAUCAGCUGGCAUACGCAGCUUAAUUAGUUAAGUUGCCGUCCUCCGUGGCUUCGUCCGUGAGUCGCGGGUAGGACGUCAUUCAGCGGACUGGCUUCCGGCGCUACGUCUGGGCGCGGGAAGCGAGACUUUCAGGCUGGUUGACCGCGUUUCUUGCCCGUUCUGAGCGCGAGCAACGAGAGUGGUGCGCAAGCACCGCGGGAACGGAAUAAGUAUGUAGUUCUCUUGGCUGUGUCUAUUUUCGGACGUGGGUUCAACUCCCACCGCCUCCACCA